AUAUAAAUAAAUAUUUCCUUUUUCGACAUUGUUGCUCUUUUUCUUUUUCCUGCUUGGGUCUAUCUUUAUUGACAAAUACGCCGAAUUUUCGGCGUAACAAUUUGGGGAAAUCGCCCUCCCACAAAAAAAGCAGGGAAAAGUGGGUUACGCCGAUUUUUC
rnacentral:ribozyme from 13 species